CGCGCGAGUCAUUGGGAACGACUAAACCUAAAGGCGCAAUGAAAGUGAAGGUACGCCCCGAGCGGACCGAGGGAGGAUGGGCGGCGCACACCUUACGCCGCCCCGCACUCCCGGGGCGUCUCGCACUCAUCGCGAGGCGAGGCGCACCGCGAGCGCGCGCGCUGGGACCCGAAAGAUGGUGAACUAUGCCUGGUCAGGACGAAGUCAGGGGAAACCCUGAUGGAGGUCCGUAGCGAUUCUGACGUGCAAAUCGAU
rnacentral:rRNA from 1 species